rnacentral:lncRNA from 1 species
UUGAUUAAAAUGAAUUAUAAAGAGGAUAAAGAGGUAUAAACGGAAGCAAAAGGGAUAAAAAUCUAUUGUUCCAGUUUGUUCUUUAUAAUACGGGGGAGCACUAAGCCUGGAAUAAGAUUGAUAUCCUAUUUUGAAUGAUGUUUGGAGCAAGAAUUAAAGUGUCGUGACACGGAAUCGUGCCGAAAAUUUAUCGGCACGGUAUAUAUUGGAUCAUGUCGAUGUAUGUCGGUCAUAAAAAUUCAUGUGUACCGACACAUAAUAACAUAAAAUAUAUAUAUAUUUUUUAGCAAUAAAAUAUUCUAAUUGUUUGUUAUGUAUUUUUAUCAAAUUUUUUAAAGUUUAUUAAAAAAAUUACUUAGUAAUUUAAAGAAUAAAAAGUUUUGAACUGUAACAUCGAUACGAGAGCACGAUACGAUACGGUAAAUACGGUCAAUAAAGAACUUAAAUCCUUGGUUUGGCGGAUAAAGAGAGAUAUUUCUCUCACAAGAGGAUAUUUUCGUAACGAAACAUAGCCUGAACCACAAAUAUGGAGCGGACGGUGCGGAUUAUGUACGGACGCAUUGUUGCAGGGCGAUGAUCUGUCGAACAAAUUACUGCUACUUCUGUUCAGACACGUGACAUCCUAGCCCGACUACCAAGUGAAGAGGAUACGAGAAUUCCUACCCCAUUCCUCUCCACAACGAUCGAGGAUUUUCCCUAAUAAAUUUACAACGAUCGAGGAUUUUCCCUAAUAAAUUAAGGACUUAUUUGGUUCAUCCAUUUUGGGUAUAGAAUGAAAAUCGGUUUGAUCAAAUCCGGUUAAUUUUGUCUGAUUUGCAUGAAUCGGUUUGGGAUUCCUAUUCCGGACUGGAAUGGGAAUUGCCCAUUAGCCUUCAACUUGAUUCCGGUCUUUUAGCCCGGAUUGAAAUUUCAUUCCGGAAGCCCAAAGCCCAUGUGACCAUCUCACCCUCCUUCUCUUCACCCCUUUCUCAUCAAACAAAAAAAAAUCUAUCUUCUCUCAAAAUUCUAUCCCUAACCCACAUCAAUAAAAAUUUUUAAAAAUAAAUUUGAUAUUUUUUAAAAAAAACUUAUUAGAAAAUAGUAUUAUAUUUUUAUAAAUUUUAAAUAAUAUAAAUUUAAAUUUGAAAGUAAAAUUAGUAUUAUAGUAUUUUAUAACUUUUUUAGUUUACAUGAACUAAACAAUGAAACUUGAAUAACUCAUUCUAAUUCCCAAUGCACAAAUAAACCAAACGUUUUGGGGGAGUGGGUCAUUCCAAUUAUCAUUCCAAUUCAUUCUUAUUUCAUUAUCCAUUUCAAUUCCAUCAUUGAACCAAAGGAGCCCUAAUUGUAU